rnacentral:rRNA from 1 species
AUGGGCCAGAUCGUCUCCACCAACCAGAGCGCAUUCAUCGCCGACCGGAGCGUGCACGACAACUUCCUCCUUGUCCAGCAAACGGCGCGCCUGCUUCACAACCUCAAGGCCCCGCGCAUCCUUCUCAAGCUCGACAUUGCGAAGGCGUUCGACACCGUAUCCUGGCCCUUCCUUCUUCAAGCUCUUCGCCACCCUGGCUUCGGGCAUCGCUGGUGCGAAUGGGUGUGCAUCUUAGUCCCCACUGCAUCCACGCGGGUUCUCAUCAACGGCAACCCAGGCCCCCCAAUGGAUCAUGCCUGCGGGCUCCGCCAAGGCGACCCGAUAUCCCCGCUCCUCUUCGCGAUCGUGAUCGACACCCUGAUUAUACGGAGCCAUGAUUGGAGCCUGUUAGCACUAUCACAACUGACCCUUUUUUAUGGAGUUGUGUUUCUUAUUUGGAUUUGA